UACGUAGGGGGCAAGCGUUGUCCGGAUUUAUUGGGCGUAAAGAGCGUGUAGGCGGCCUGACAGGUCUGCUGUGAAAACUCGAGGCUCAACCUAGAUGUCGGCGGAAACCGUCUGGCUAGAGUCCGGAAGAGGAGAGUGGAAUUCCUGGUGUAGCGGUGAAAUGCGCAGAUAUCAGGAAGAACACCUAUGGCGAAGGCAGCUCUCUGGGACGGUACUGACGCUGAGACGCGAAAGCGUGGGGAGCGAACAGG
rnacentral:rRNA from 1 species